AUGCAAAAAUAAGGAGACAAGAUGAUGGGCUCAUGGUGAACAGCUGUGAAGCAGGGAUGAAAAUUAAUGUGCCCAGAAGCAGAUUCUCUUUGAAGCAUCUUUUUUCAUACUACCUGAUAAGUGUCUUGCUACAUGGCAGUAGCAGCAGUAAGACGGGUGAUAUCAAAGAGAACUAUCUGGAAACAUUUAUCUUCAAUCCAAAAUGGAGCCUUAUGUUUGUCAUAAAUCUACGUACUCUUCUUUUCCAGGUGACUACAAUUGCAAAGUAGAAUUUGCUUUGACACCUGAUGCCAGGACAAUAGUAUGUUACCAUCCUUCUAUAGACAUUCCAUAUGAACGCACAAAACCUAUCCCUUGACCAGAUCCUGUGUAUAAUAAUGAAGAAACACAUGGUCAAGUGCUGAAAACUAGAGAAGAAAAAAGUGAACACCUUGAGCGAGAACCCAUAAUAGAACAACUUAGCAAAAUGUUCUUUAUGCUAAGUACGGUUGGCAUCUUCGUGGACAUUAGCACAGAUGUCAGAAGAAACCGGAACCUCCAGAAGACAGAUGAUAUUGAGGUUCUUGGGGAAUUAAAGAGAAAUAUUACCCUCUGCCUCAUUUGCCAUUGGAGACAGUGCAAUCUGGUGUAUGCACUAAUAAUAAUAAUAACAUGUCUUUUCAUAUUU